rnacentral:rRNA from 1 species
UACAGAGGUGGCAAGCGUUGUUCGGAAUUACUGGGCGUAAAGGGCGCGUAGGCGGCUAUUCAAGUGGCGGGUGAAAUCCCUCGGCUUAACCGAGGAACUGCCUGCCAGACUGGAUGGCUUGAGACCGGGAGAGGUGAGUGGAAUUCCCAGUGUAGCGGUGAAAUGCGUAGAUAUUGGGAGGAACACCAGUGGCGAAGGCGGCUCACUGGACCGGUACUGACGCUGAGGCGCGAAAGCGUGGGGAGCAAACAGG